AAUCGAUAGGCGAGGAAGUCCCAUCACUACUUACGCAUACCAUCUCUACUAUAAAGUAGCGUGGGUGAAGCCGGCAAAGACGCGUGAAAUGGAACCGACAAAGAAGCAUAAAGACGUACUCCCUGGAGGUCAUCAAGAGGAUUUACUGGCAGCAUUUGGCCGGCGUCCCCGGAAUUCUCGGAAGCGCCAUCAGUAAGUUCUCAGAAGGGGACGCCUCGGCCCGACGCCCAUACAUAUUGCGGCGUCACAUAUUUGGCACGCAGCAUUUAAAUUGCAUGCAGUGGCUGUGGCAGCAACAUCGGCGUCCAACAGGAAAAUGCCGCCGGCGGCACAUUGGCGUCGACGUCGGCAGCAGCAUCGCCUCAGACGGGCGUCGGUGUCGGCGUCUCACGUAGGCCGCGCCGUUUCCAAGAAGCGUUGCUAUGGAACAGCGUCGGCGGAGACAUGGCCCGCAAUAUGAGCUACAUGUUUUCGGGAAUCGUCAGUUCCAGCUAGCGUCGAGGGAAAGAAAACAUGUUCGCCACAUACAUGCGAGCAGAUUUAGAGGAAAUCUGUAACCGCGGCUAAGUAGGCAUGAGGUCAUCGCCGUGGUCAGGGUGCGUGUCCCAAAAAGGAAGGUUGUCAGGAACAGAUCGUAGUCAUAACAGGUGAGUCAAAAAUUGCAGUGUACAGAGACAGAGACAGACAGAGACAGACAGAGACAAACAGAGACAGACA